CCAAAUUUGCAAAUCUGAUUUCCUGGGUCCCGCCCAGGCUGAAUCAGGACCUGGGUGGGCCCAUCAAUCUGCACGUCAACAAGGGACCCAGAUGUCUGCUCCAUUAUGGAAGCCCCAGAAACAAAGCAACCUUCCUGUGCUAAACACGAAACUGGAAUUCGGUCCCUCGAGUCGCGGGGACCCCAGUUCCCAUCUGCCCUCCAUCCUGGGGCUGUAACCUCCUUCAGGAAAGACAGACUCUAUAAGGACUUGACCCAAGGGUUGCACCAUCUCUUAUUGGCCAGGGGUUUGGCCACGCCCAGGGGCAAGGCAGGCUGGAAAAUGUAGUCCUUGCCACAGCUGGAACUUGAGAAGCCCCACCCCAGUGGCUCAUUGGAUUUGCUGGCUUGAACCCGAGGAACUGUGGCAUAAUAGUGACACAUCCGAGAGUUCAGAGGCAGAUAGGAUGCGCGACAGAGCGGUGAUCUCCGCAAGACAGUGACGGAAGAGGGACUGCUGAAUAGCAGUGCACAGGAAGCAGGCUCAUUUCACCCCGGGAAGAAAAAGGCCCUUGCUGAUUGUACAAGAGAGGGCAGCCUGCAGGCCGGCGAGAUGGCCCAGCUGGUAAAGCUGACUGCCGCCAAGCCCAAAGACCUGAGUUCGAUCCCCAGGACCCACUGGGUGGAAAGAGACAACCAAUUCCUCAGCCGGCUGCCUCUUCCCACUCCUGGGUGCCACCCUCCAGCAGGCACAGGUCCUGAGUUCGUGGGGCACAUACUGAUUUUGCAGCAGAGUGAGGAUCUGAAUUCAGGAUAUCUGGACAUGGUUUCUCACCAGGGCACGUCCUUCCCGCCCAGGAGGAAUGGAACCCAGAGCCUCUUGGAAGCACAGUGGUCCCCUAUGUGAGGAGUCCGAGACCAUAGCAAAAGUGCCACCCUGGGGACUUUGCUAGUAAUCGGAUGUUCAGCCUGAUAUGCUGGUGAACUGGGAGUCCAGCCUGAGCUACAAGCUGUGGAACAAACAUCUUGCAUCACCACAUGCUCUCCACAUAGAGUCACUUCAGGCCCAAACCAAAAAAAGGCCAGUGAUAAUUUCUGAUGCCUCCAAAACUGCGAGCCAAAAGAGUCUUUUCUGGGGCUAACUUUACUAGAUUCUAGGGACUUGUGUUUUUUUCUUUCUUGGGGUCUCAUGUAUCCCGGCGCUGUUUGUGAACUCUCUGCCUUAAGCCCUGCCUCCACCUUCUGGACGCUUUCUCCACUGUGUGCCCUUUUCUUCAGCGCUGAGGCUUAAUCCCAGGUGUGUGCCGAGUCAGCACCCUCUAAGCUGAGCUUCACCCCAGUCCAGUUCUGUUAAUUAUAAGCUAACAUCAGACUCCUUGGACAAAUGCUUGUUCUAUUUUAUUUUUUGUCACGUGAACAGUGGCCCACGAGAUCCACCGCUGUACUUAUUUUCUACUUCCUGGAUUUGUACAAAUCCCCUUAAUUAAAAGAGUAGAUAUUCUUGAUGGUUGUGUUUCCUGUCAAGAUAUAAUUAACACAUGAUAAACACACUCAUUUAAAAAAACAUUAAGACAGGGCCAGGUGGUGGAGACACGCAUCUUUGAUCCCAGCACUUGGGAAGCAGAG
ensembl:lncRNA